GGCUUAACACAUGCAAGUCGAGCGAGAAAGUAUCUUCGGAUAUGAGUAGAGCGGCGGACGGGUGAGUAACGCGUAGGAAUCUACCUAGUAGAAGGGGAUAGCCCGGGGAAACUCGGAUUAAUACCGUAUACCUCCUUUGGGAGAAAGAGGGCCUCUCUUGAUGCUCUCGCUAUUAGAUGAGCCUGCGUAAGAUUAGCUUGUUGGUGAGGUAAUGGCUCACCAAGGCUACGAUCUUUAGCUGGUCUGAGAGGACGAUCAGCCACAUUGGGACUGAGACACGGCCCAGACUCCUACGGGAGGCAGCAGUGGGGAAUAUUGGACAAUGGGCGCAAGCCUGAUCCAGCCAUACCGCGUGUGUGAAGAAGGCCUUCGGGUUGUAAAGCACUUUAAGCAGGGAGAAAAAGUUAUAAGUUAAUACCUUAUAACCGUGAUGUUACCUGCAGAAUAAGCACCGGCUAAUUCCGUGCCAGCAGCCGCGGUAAUACGGAAGGUGCAAGCGUUAAUCGGAAUUACUGGGCGUAAAGCGCGCGUAGGUGGUUUGUUAAGUUGGAUGUGAAAGCCCUGGGCUCAACCUAGGAACUGCAUCCAAAACUAACUCACUAGAGUACGAUAGAGGGAGGUAGAAUUCAUAGUGUAGCGGUGGAAUGCGUAGAUAUUAUGAAGAAUACCAGUGGCGAAGGCGGCCUCCUGGAUCUGUACUGACACUGAGGUGCGAAAGCGUGGGUAGCGAACAGGAUUAGAUACCCUGGUAGUCCACGCCGUAAACGAUGACAACUAGCUGUUGGGAGACAAUGUCUUUCAGUGGCGCAGCUAACGUUUUAAGUUGUCCGCCUGGGGAGUACGGCCGCAA
rnacentral:rRNA from 1 species